rnacentral:rRNA from 1 species
UACGUAGGGGGCAAGCGUUGUUCGGAUUUAUUGGGCGUAAAGAGCGUGUAGGCGGCCAGGUAGGUCAGCUGUGAAAACUCGAGGCUCAACCUCGAGACGUCGGUUGAAACCACCUGGCUAGAGUCCGGAAGAGGAGAGUGGAAUUCCUGGUGUAGCGGUGAAAUGCGCAGAUAUCAGGAAGAACACCCGUGGCGAAGGCGGCUCUCUGGGACGGUACUGACGCUGAGACGCGAAAGCGUGGGGAGCGAACAGG